CCUACGGGGGGCUGCAGUGGGGAAUAUUGGACAAUGGGCGAAAGCCUGAUCCAGCCAUGCCGCGUGUGUGAAGAAGGCCUUCGGGUUGUAAAGCACUUUCAGUGGGGAAGAAAGCCUUGGGGCUAAUACCCUCGAGGAAGGACAUCACCCACAGAAGAAGCACCGGCUAACUCCGUGCCAGCAGCCGCGGUAAUACGGAGGGUGCGAGCGUUAAUCGGAAUUACUGGGCGUAAAGCGCGCGUAGGCGGUCUGAUAAGCCGGUUGUGAAAGCCCCGGGCUCAACCUGGGAACGGCAUCCGGAACUGUCAGGCUAGAGGUCAGGAGAGGAAGGAAGAAUGCACGGUGGAGCGGUGAAAUGCGUAGAGAUCGGGAGGAAAACCAGUGGAGAAGGCGGACUUCUGGACUGACACUGACGAUGAGGUGCGAAAGCGUGGGUAGCAAACAGGAUUAGAUACCCGAGUAGGC
rnacentral:rRNA from 1 species